rnacentral:rRNA from 1 species
UACGUAGGGCGCGAGCGUUGUCCGGAAUUAUUGGGCGUAAAGAGCUCGUAGGCGGCUUGUCACGUCGGGUGUGAAAGACCGGGGCUUAACUCCGGUUCUGCAUUCGAUACGGGCUAGCUAGAGUGUGGUAGGGGAGAUCGGAAUUCCUGGUGUAGCGGUGAAAUGCGCAGAUAUCAGGAGGAACACCGGUGGCGAAGGCGGGUCUCUGGGCUGACACUGACGCUCAUGCACGAAAGCGUGGGGAGCAAACAGG